rnacentral:lncRNA from 1 species
CCUUCCUGAGCAUUCUUCGGGAGGCACUUGUGAAACUCAGCCCAGGUGCUGCCCAGGAUCAGGAGGCUGAGACGUGAUCUGGAAGUGAGUGCCCAUCCAUACACCUUCCCCAGCUUUGGGGCCACAGAGGGACAGAAACCGCAGGCAGGCUGGCCUGGGAAUGAACCUACACCAGCCUGAAGUCAGAAGAGCCUCUAGGAGCCUCCAGCCUGGACUCUUUUUACAGAUGGGGAAACUGAGUCCCAGAGAGGGAGCAAUGAAGGAUGUCUAAGGUCAUCAGCAACGUAAAGCCAACAGCAUCAUCCUGAGUCAUGUUUGAACCUGAGGGAGCCCAGCUGGGACAAUGUGUGAAUCAACGCAUGAAGGAGUGAGUGAGCAGCUAACCAAAUGAAAGAAUACUCAGAUAUCUGGGGUACAGUUCCCCUCCAGGUUUGCACAGCAUCUGCUGAAGUCUCCACUAGAAACUCAAUGGAAGGUCCCCACCGGAAACUGAAAGUCUCCUAGAGUGGCUUUGAGUUGCGGUUUCACCCUCCCUGCAGAUCCACAGGGGAGGCUGGGGCAGAUGGAAAAUACCAACUUGAUGGUCUGUGGCCACACCAUGCUGCUCCCCAAGGCCCCUCAGAAUUUCACUGCCCAAUAUGGUAGCGCCCAGCCUGAAACGUGGCCAGUGUGAAUUGAGAUGGGCUGGAAAUGCACCAGACUUCCAAGAGCUGGACAAAAACCAUAUACUUUCCAUCCAGCUGUUUGGCAUUGGAUACUGCUGCCUCUGCUUGACUUGAGAAUGUGUGAGAAAAGCUGUGUUUAGACAACUGAAAACCAUGAGCUUGAAAGUAGUGGGGGCACACUCUUGGAGACUCCAGUUGCUCACCAGCUUGGACAAACCACUGGACUCAAAUGAUCAGGUAGAAAUUCAUCACUGGAGAGAACACAGUGGAAUGGCUUCAGCGAAAACUCACUCUGAAGGUCUUCAGGGCAACUUUAAGACUUGCCCCUGGCCGGGCACAGUGGCUUAUGCCUAUAAUCCCAGCACUUUGGGAGGCCGAGGCGGGUGGAUCACCUGAGGUCAGGAGUUCAAGACCAGCCUGGCCAAUAUGGCGAAACCCUGUCUCUACUAAAAAUCCAAAAAAUUAGCCGGGCGUGGUCGUGGGCGCCUGUAAUCCCAGCAACUCGAGAGGCUGAGGCAGGAGAAUUGCCUGAACCCGGGAGGCAGAGUUUGAAGACAGCCGAGAUUGCACCACUGGGCAACAAGAGCAAAACUCCAUCUCAAAAAAAAAAAAAAAAAAAAAAAUACUUGCCCCGGCUUUUUGUGUGAUGGACUUUCUAUUUACAGACGUGAUAUUUAUCUAUGACUUUACUCAGAGUCUGGCUCAUAGACCAGAAGGACUGGUAUCUCCUGGAGCUUGCAGGAAAUGCAAAAUCUCAAACCCCUGUAUUAGUCAGGGUUCUCCAGAGAAGUAGAGCCAAUGGGAUAGAGACAGGGAUAGGGAUGAUAGAGAUGGAGAUAGAGGUAGAGAUCCAUUGAUUCCUCUGUUAAUAAAUUGGCUCAUGCAGUUGUGACAAUUUCGAAAUCUGCAAGGUAUGUCAGCAAGCUGGAGACCCAGGGAACAGUUGAUGUUGCACCUUGAGUACAAAGGCAGUGUGUCUGGAGCCAUAAUAUCUUCUUGUUAGGAAGACUUUGGUCUUUUCUCUUCUGGCCUUCAACUGCUUGGGUGAGGCCCGUCCCCACUACAGAAGACAAUAGUCUGUUCUACUCAGAGUCUACUGAUUUAAAUGCUCAUCUCAUCCCAAAAAAUACCCUCACAGCAACAUUUAGCCUGUGCAUUUGACCAAACAACUGGGUACCAUGCCCCCCCUCCCAAGUUGACACACAAAAUUGACCAUCAUACCCUCCCCACCCCCAGUCUUACUGAAUGAGAGAGAAUCUGUGCUUCAACAAGAUCCCCAGAAGAGGUAUAAGCGCAGGGAAGUCUGAGAAGCACCACCUUUGAGGCUUAUCCAGGAUGCCCACAUGAGCCUUCUCUGGAUAUGUCAGAUCCCCUUCCUGGCCCCCUAGACACCUCCUCCACUCCCCAAACUUGGAAGCAACAUUGUGGGGAAGCAGGCAGUGAGGCGCUCAGUCUACCACGUUGUGAGAUACACAGCUCCAUCUGUGUAUCAUGAUUUGAUCCAAGGGAAAACAAAAGAUCCAGAAACAUAAGUACUUUUUUGUGAGCUCUCAAAAACUUCCUGUGACAAGAUCAGGUCGUUGAUGCGAGAGCCACACUUGUUUCUUUUUCCUCUUUAUUCUCCACCUCUGACAUAAUACUUAGCAUAAAAAAAAAUCCAAUAAACACCACUGAAUCAAUUAUCUAAGCCUCAGUUUCCCUCUUGUAAUAUGUACUUACCUGGUUGUGGUAGGAAAGACACCAGGCAUGAGAAACACUUAAAAGCCCAGGACCCUGAGCUGGGCACAUGGUAGGUACUCAGGAAGUCAUUGCCGAGUGUUCAGUGCAUGCUUGUUGAAUGAGUAAAUGAGGUCAGGCUUCAGCAUGCAAACACUCGCUAUAAAGCAGGAACCCUGUGCCCUGAGUGCACAAAAUAGAUAUCGAGAAGGAACACAGGCUCAGACAUCAGUGCCAUAUCUGAAGACAUUCAGCUAAUAACAGGAUGGAGUCCAAUCUGCUGGUGUGUGCACACCUGUGCCUGGGUGUCUUUGCUGGUGUGUGCACAUGUGUCUACAUGUGUGGUCGUGAGAGUACACACAGGGGCUGGAGGGUGGGGAAGGGCUUAAUCUAAUCCUGAAAGUGCCAGCAGAACUCUUGGGUGUCCCUCAAAGUCAAGCUUCUUUCCAGGUCAUCGAAGUUUUCACUUGGGUAAUAAUGCACGCAUAAUUAACUGAACAAAUAUAAUGAAUCUAUCUGUAGUGACAUGAUAGUUGGUGCUGAAUCCUAUUAGAGCACAUUUAAUUAAAAAUGCAUUAAACCUUCAAGCUUCUAAACACACCCUGCGCUUCUUCAAAGCCGCCCCUCCGUUAAAGUCUUCCCCACUAUUAACUAUGAGUCAGCCUGUGACCCUUUGGGCAUGACGGGGUGAGGUGAAGUGGCUCUUAAAUGCCUGUGCCAGUAUAUCACAGGCACUAAUGGAUUUAAAUCAGGGAGAUUAAUUCCAUUCAUUCGGCUCCUCAUUUCAGAAACAACUGUCACGCUGAGCCUAAUUGCUGAAGAUGGUUGAAGGCACCAGGAGGCUGGAGUUUCCUGGAGGUGGUUUGUGGCCAACCGUCAAUUACUUGGGCUGCUGUGCAGUGGGGAUAGAAGGAUGAUUAGAAUCCACAGACAACCCAUUGGCCUUUGUUUACCAUUAACUUCUGUUUUCUCCACCAGCCAAGCUCCUCCAGACCCAGGAGAUGGCUCUUCCCUCUGUGUAGCACACUCUUUCCAGUCAAGGGGUCUUGCACUGCUAUUUCCCCUUCUGCUUUGCUUGGUUCAUUCUUACUGACCCUCCAAAUACUGAAGGAAUGAAUGGAGAAAUAAGUAAAUGAGAGAUGUGGCCAAGAGUCUCCAAGAGAGGAAAUUAAAAAAUCCUAUACCUGUGAGGAACUGGCCCACUUGCAAAAGGCGGACUCAUUUGUCACUGUGUUUGCUGGCUGCUCGCACCACACAGUUUCCAGCCUAGGCAUUAUUUCCAACCUCUUUUUCCAAAGGGUCUUUCUAAGGUACAGAAAAUGGACAUAAAAUCGCCCAACGUAGUUGAGAGGUAAGGAGUAAAAGCCGGAAUUUGAACUCCUAAUCUCCUGCCACGAUUUCAUGCUGCCUCUGGGUAAUCUCCCAGCACGUUGCUUAAUCAGCUGCUGAGUCAUUGAGAGCCGGCAGAACCAGCUUCCUGCUGAGGCAGAGUGGGAGGAGGCCCGUCUGGGAGCAGCACACUGAAGGAAGGGAGGAGGAGGUGAUGUUUGGCACAAUCGGAUUGGUUCCCAUGAGGUCCAGGGCUGCGGCUCCUACAGAAGGCACUUUUUGCAUAUGGUAGGCUUCACGGGGUGCAACCUCUGUGUUGUUAGGAGAACCUCGUGCUUGCUAUGAUGCUCUGCUGUCAUUAUCUUGAAAUUCUUAGUCACAUUAAAACACGGGAGCCUACAUGUUUAUUUUGCACUGGAUCCUGCAAAUUAGCCAGUCCUGGUACUGAGGGCAGGUCCCUGGGUGAGUCUCACACAGCCUCCAUCCUUUGGUAAAGCAGCUUUCCUGAUUUAGCAAAUGCCUUACCAGAAAGCCUUUUCCUUGAAGAUGCUUUAACUUUUGUCUUCCCUGGCAAAGCUGUUUCCUUAUGGUAAAGCACCCAGCUCAUAGCUGAUAUUCAAUCCAUGAAGUAGCUCUGUCAGCAGCUGUCAUCAUGAAGACUUUGCAGCCUGCGGGUGGUAGCAUUCUGAAUCGUCAGUCUGUCUCGCUCCUGUAGCAAAUGCACGAUCCGGGAAAGCAUGUCCCAAGCUUUGUUCUGGAGAAGAUUUCUCCAGCUAUCAGAUGGUGUCUGUCAUCACAAUAGCUUAGGAGAUGCUGCUCACUCCAUCCUCCUCACUAAGUGUCACAGUACACUUGGGUAUGUACAAGUCUCUGAGAAGUCCAGCAGCAAAGACACCUUUGUGUUUUGCUGAUUCUAGCCUUUCCUAGACUAGAAGUCUUUUUUUCUAGUCUAGGAAAAGACUGUGGAAUCUUUUCUUUUUUUUCCUGAUACACACAUUCACAUUCCGUGGAACAUUUAGGACGUGGUUAUCUGGUCCUAAAGUAGUAAAGGUGAAGAUGUUGUGGGAGGUGCAAGAAAGAGCAGCAAGGAGUAGAUGGGGCACACUGCAAAGUGCGAUCCCCACAUACCUAAGUUAGUAUCAAUUACUACUAACAAAACUCGGCCAAGACUCUUUUGCAUUCGUUUUGUUUCUCUCUUUUACCCUGAUUAUAUUAAGAAAUAUGACAGGCCUGUGACUCACUGAUUAGACCAUCUUAGUCACUUUGGGUUGUCCCAGCAACAGGAGACUUAACUCUGACCAUAGGUAAGGAGCCCAGAGGACAGGAGAGCAGGGAUUUCUGAGGAUUUAACAAAUGCUUAUAAACAAAUGAUAUCACUUUGAACAAAGUAAUCAAAGUAUCAAAUGCUAUAAACACCACAGUAGGGCAAUGUGUGAAUCAUACUUGUGGUGAGACAUACAUAGAUCAGCUGCAAAGAGGAACUCAAUUCUGCAGAACCUCAGCUGGAGUAACUGAUGUGAAACAUGGACAGGGAAAUGGAAGGAAGUCAGCGGACACGGAAACUCUAGGAACUGAACUUUGACAAGGAACGCCGUCCAUAAUCCCAAGUCCUAUGACUUCAUAGAGGAAAAAAACCCUAGUGGAGCAGAACAGGGCCUCAUAGAGGGGCUGGGGCCUCACUGAGGGCUGGGAAGUUUGAUAGGACUUCCCUUGCUGGUAAGGAACAAAACUGGGUCUCAGGUUCAGGUUUGUAAAGCUAAUUUCAUACAUUUGCAGCAGAUGCUGUCAGUGUCCCUCCCCAAGCCCCUCAGCACUCAGCAUUCAUAGACAUCCUCAUCUUGCAAGCACCUGAGUCUCUCUCUGUAAGGUUUCUGUUGGCCUCAGGGCAGACCAGGGUACCAGGGAGGGCAGACCAGGGUACCAGGGAGCACAGCCCUCAAAGAAAGAUGACAGGAGUUGGUGUAAAUCUCAUGGCUUUCAUGUUACUUAGGGGGACCAAUGCUGAGGCAUGCUUAGCAUGAUCCUCUGUGAGACUGGGCCUCAGGUGUCCGCUGCAGCCGCCUGUUCAUUAGUGUGACAUGCACGGGAUUCCUUCCGUAUCCUGGCCCCUUUCUCUACUUCCCAACCGUGCUUCCUGAGACAUACUCAAAUCCUUGUCUCACACUUGGCUUCUGGGAGAAUCCAACUGCAAAUGCUGUGUUUUAUUUUUUAUUUAUGUAUUUAAUUAUUUGGAGAUAGGGUCUCCCUCUGUCACCCAGGCUGGAGUAAAAUGGCACAAUCCUAGCUCACUGCAAUAUUAAACUCCUGGGCUCCAGUAAUCCUCAGCCUCCAGGAGCUGGAACUACAGUCGUGCACAGCAAUGCCAGCUAAAGUUUCCUUUAAAUUUUUUGUAGAGUCAAGAUCUCACUAUUUCAGUCAGGUCUUGAACUCCUUGCCUCCCAAAGUUCUGGGAUUACAGCACUUGGCCUCCCAAAGUGCUGGGAUUACAGGCGUGAGCCACUGCAUCUGGCUGUUUAUUCCAUUAAAAUGAUUGAAGGAGUCUCUUGCUUUGGGAAUUUUGCUCCCGUGGUGAGAACACUAUGGGAAUGACAUCUCAAGAAUAUGGCUCCUUCAAAUGAAUUUAAAAUGGUCUUUCUAUUUUUGUCCAGUGGUUACAAUAGCUGAUGGGCUCGAGGUAAGGAGAUGCUAAGCUGCCAUUCUCUCCUUCAACCCAUGGCAUUUACUGAGCUUCUAAAUCAGUCAGGCCCUGGGCUGGACCCUGGGCAUGCAGACUGAAUCAGAGCCUUCAGGACUAGCAGGAGAGACAGGUAUAUAUAGUGGCAAGGGCAAUAUUUAUUCACUCAUUCAUUCUUUUUCCUUUUUUAUGUGCCAAAUCUUUAAUGAGGGCCUACCUUGUACUCAGGAACACCAGGAAUAAACAGAAAACAAAAAGAUAUCAUUUCUGGACUCAGUUCACCAUCUAGAGAAAAAAAAAAAAAAAAAAAAAGACCUGAAAUGGACAAAUACAGUACUGUUUGACAAAUGUCACGUAAGAAGAAGCCCAUGAUACUGAGGAUGGUAUAGGAGGGGCCGUAUCCAGGUUGAAGGAGUCAAAUAUGACAGCUGCCGUGAGAAUUACAAUCAGAAAACCAUGACCCGGAUGCUUAUCCUAUUCAUUGCUUGAGCCUGAGAACACAAACACACAGGGUGUGGCUGAAAUUCCUCUGAAAUUGUAUUGAUUUGAGAAAACUGCAAUCUUGUGUUAAAAUGUGAAUCAUACACAAGGAUGCAAAACAGUUACCGCUGACCAUAAAUCUAGGCUAUCAGAAUGGAAUCUGAUGGCUUGUCUACCAGACUGCAUUGUGAAACCAAUCAAAUGGGAGAUAGACUCACCACUUACCAAGUACCUCUGAGACACCAGGCACCCUGUGGGGUGCCCUACUCAUCAUCUUGUUUAACCAGUUGAUUGGGAAUAGCUCCAUUUUACAGAGAAAGACUGUUAGGCAGCUUUCUAAGAUGGCCCUAAUUAUUCCUUCCUUCUGGUAAUCCCCUUCCUUUAAAUGUGGGCUACACUUAAUUACCUGCUUUUAACAAACAGAAUAUAGCAAAAGUGAUGGGAUGUCAGGAGACUGAAUCAGUAACCAAAAACCUCCAGACAAAGAAAAGCCCAGGGCCAGAGGGCUUCACUGGUAAAUUUACCAAACAUUUAAAGAAGAAUUAGCACCAGUCUUUCUCAAACUCCUCAACAAAUUGAAGAGGAGAGAACACUUCUAAAUACACUUUAUGAGGCCAGCAUUACCCUAACAUCAGAGCCAGACAAAGACACAAGAAAAGAAAACUACAGACUAAUAUUUCUAAUGAAUCUUGAUGCACAAAUCCUCAAAAAAGAAGAAAACAUACUAGCAAACAUAAUUCAGCCGCACAUUAAAAGGAUUAAGCACCAUGACAAAGUGGGAUUUAUUCUUAGUAUAAAAGGAUAUUUCAACGUAAAAAAGUCAAUGUAAUAUAUCACAUUAAUAGAAUGAUGAGAAAAAAUCCACAAGAUUAUCCCAAUUGAUGCAUUUAACAAAACUUAAUACUCUUUCAUGAAAAAACACUCAACAAACCAGGAAUACAUGAAACUACCCCAACAUAAGACAGUCCACAAAUGAAAAGCUCACAACCAACAUAAUACUCAUGGUGAAAAGCUGAAAGCUUCCUCUAAGAUCAGGAAUGAGACAAAAAUGUCCACUUUUGAAUCAACCUGUAUUCAACAUAGUAUAAGAAGUCCUCGCCAGAAUUUUCAGGAAAAAAAAAAAAGAAAGAAAAAAAAGCCAGUCAAAUUGAAAAGAAAGAAGAAAAAUUAUCUUUGCUCACAAAUGACAUGAACUUAUAAAACUCCUAGAAUUAAUAAAUGGAUGCUGCAAUGUUGAAGGAUACAAAAAUCAACACACAAAAAUCAGUUAUGUUUUUAUAUACUAACAAUGAAUGAGCCAAAAAUGAAAUUAAAACAAUUCCAUUUACAAUAGCAUCAGAAAGACUAAAAUACCUAACAAUAAACUUAACCAAGGAGGUAAAAUGCUUGAGUAUUUAGACACUAAAAAUUAUAAGGCCUGCACGGUGGUUCAUACCUGUAAUCCCAGCAUUUUGGGAGGCAGGUGGAUCACUUGAGGUUAGGAGUUUGAGACCAGCCUGGCC